AGUUAAUUAACUACAUUUUUCUGAGCUUCAUUCGUUCGGCUGGACUUGAUUUAAAUGAAUUUUAUAAAUUCAUUUUUUUUCAAUUAUGUUCUUCCAAGCCCAAGCCCAAGCCCAGCCAUUCAGUUUUUUGACUUCCUUGUUCCCUCCCAUUUGAAGCCGAAGCAUUUAUCGCAUGCCUCCGUUCCGUCCCUCCUUCCCCGAGUCCCCGACCUGCGACUGCGACCUCACCUUGACCUUCGUGGCUUGACGAUCUCUCUGAGGUGAGCUGGACCAGUUGCCCUGCCGCUGCUGAACUAGUAGUGGCGGCCGAUUAUCCACAGAAAAAAUUGUGAUGGAGAAGAGCAGCAAUCAAAGCGAUGGCCUCCUCCCGCCAGAGAUCGUAUUGUGCAGAUUCAGGUUGCGAGCUAUCACGGCCAAAUUACCACCGCACGAUGCUUUAUUUCACAGUCUCUCAGUGGCUUGAUCUGCAUUGAGACUGAGGACGGAAUCCGCAUUUGUAACCCUACCACCGGAGAGCGUAUUCCCCUUCUGACACCACCGAACCCUUAUAGAUCCGAUUGCUUUUUGGGUUGCGACCCCGUUGAAAAGAAGCACAAGGUCCUGGGCUCAUUUAUAGGAUCCUUAAUGGAACUGAUGACAGAGAUCAGCAUUUUUAACUUUCGGCGAGAAGGAGUGGAGAAGGAUAGAUCCCGGUCUAGCUAUUUUUAGCUUUCAAGAUAGUUUUGUGUAUCGAUGGGGUUGAUGCAUAUGGUUGCUCUGGCUGAAGAUAGAAGGGGCUUAUUUUUUUUGUUAUUUGAUGUUAGGUUGGAAAAUUUUCAAGCCAUUCCCUUCCCUGCAGAAUUGGUAUGUGCUGACGAUAUGUCGUUAAUUGAAUUCGGUAGCUGUGCUGCUGGAGGGUAUGGGUGGCGAAAUUAGAUUGUGGCUGCUGGAGGAUCUCCCUAAGCAUCUCUGGAGCUGCAAUGUGUUUAUCCCGUCUCCUCACUUGGACGAUGCUCUUAAUAAGCAUGAUGAAGCGCCGGUGAAUUGGUGUUUGCACCAUCACAAUCUACGGAACCAUCAUACUUGUAUUUAUACCACAUCGAGGAUGCUAAUUUGAGGAAGAUUGAGACCAGCUGGUUAUAUGCAUGCAAGCAUGGACGGACUAAACUAAGGGUGGUUUGUUGCCAUGUGGAAAGUCUGCAAUCACUACGAGACUCCCGUAACGACUAGUGAGAUAUGUCCCUCUCAUGUAUUCGACAUGUAGGUUAGUUUAAAAGUUCGUAGGUCCGGGGCGGAUGGCAAAGACGGGGAAUGGGCAACCUUCUUUGGAUGUGAAAAGUGAAGGCAGGAGCUAUAUAAUGGAAAUUGUAAGAGACUGGUGCUCUCUUUUCGGGCUUUAUUUGGAUUGAGACUGAGGGAGAAGGGAAGGAAAAGAUUUACUGCAUAUAUUUAUGUUUGUCUCACAUAUGACUAUUGUGUGAGUUUCUUGAUGAUUUUGGUCCUUUAUGUGGGUCUCCGUUGCGAAACAAAAAUUUUGUGCAUCUCUUGAUUGCGUAUUGCGGAUGUUAACUA